AUCACUUCUCGGCCUUUUGGCUAAAAUCAAGUGUAGUAUCUGUUCUCAUAAGUAAAUGUGGCCUAUGUUGCAAAUUCAAAACGUUA
rnacentral:snRNA from 1 species